rnacentral:lncRNA from 1 species
UCAAGGAGUUUAAGAGUGAUAAAAGUAUCCAGGCAAUAAUUUUGGACAAUACAAGUGUUAAUACAGGUAAAGAUAAUGGUUUAGUUGCUUGUCUUGAAAGAAUAUU